AGUCGAGGGGUAUAGUUCUUCGGAACUAGAGACCGGCGCACGGGUGCGUAACGCGUAUGCAAUCUACCUUUCACAGAGGGAUAGCCCAGAGAAAUUUGGAUUAAUACCUCAUAGUAUUAUAGAGUGGCAUCACUUUAUAAUUAAAGUCACAACGGUGAAAGAUGAGCAUGCGUCCCAUUAGCUAGUUGGUAAGGUAACGGCUUACCAAGGCAACGAUGGGUAGGGGUCCUGAGAGGGAGAUCCCCCACACUGGUACUGAGACACGGACCAGACUCCUACGGGAGGCAGCAGUGAGGAAUAUUGGACAAUGGGCGCAAGCCUGAUCCAGCCAUGCCGCGUGCAGGAUGACGGUCCUAUGGAUUGUAAACUGCUUUUGUACAGGAAGAAACACUGGUUCGUGAACCAGCUUGACGGUACUGUAAGAAUAAGGAUCGGCUAACUCCGUGCCAGCAGCCGCGGUAAUACGGAGGAUCCAAGCGUUAUCCGGAAUCAUUGGGUUUAAAGGGUCCGUAGGCGGUUUAGUAAGUCAGUGGUGAAAGCCCAUCGCUCAACGGUGGAACGGCCAUUGAUACUGCUAAACUUGAAUUAUUAGGAAGUAACUAGAAUAUGUAGUGUAGCGGUGAAAUGCUUAGAGAUUACAUGGAAUACCAAUUGCGAAGGCAGGUUACUACUAAUUGAUUGACGCUGAUGG
rnacentral:rRNA from 1 species